rnacentral:rRNA from 1 species
AACGACUCUCGGCAACGGAUAUCUCGGCUCUCGCAUCGAUGAAGAACGUAGCGAAAUGCAAUACUUGGUGUGAAUUGCAGAAUCCCGUGAACCAUCGAGUCUUUGAACGCAAGUUGCGCCCGAAGCCUUCGGGCCGAGGGCACGUCUGCCUGGGCGUCACGC